UAGCAAAUCCCCACAGAAGAUUUGCAAAUAAAAGCAGAAUGUUCAACAUCAUCUCUCUGCUGUUUGGGCAAUUAGACGUUCAUGAUUCACGAAAAUACCUAGAUAUAACUUGAUAAAAAAAAAAGCAAAACCAGAUGCAAUUGUAAAAAAUGAAAGCUUUGAUUAGUUCUUUAAGUUUUUACUUGAUCUCAAACCUGUGAAGUGUUAGUUAUGUUUUUUUUUGUUGUUGUUGUUAUGUUUUCCACUCCUCUGCAUUACUUCCAGAAUGGGAUAUUGUGUGCUAUGUUAUCCACUUAGCUUUGUCAGAGAUUUAUCCCUAUAGAUUGAUCAAUUGUUCUAGUUCCAGAGAAGGCAGAGCUUCUUGCUGCAUAAAAGCCGGUUGGUGAGAAAGAGAAGUAGGAAGGAGAGAUAUGCCCAUCUCUUGGGACAACUUUACUUCCUUCUCUUCUAGCGUCAUUUCCUAGAACCUGGAUAAGCCAUCAGCAUGGGCUCCUAGGGGUCUGUUCAACUCCCUUGUGGUGUCUUACUGCUCGAGCAAAGGAACAGUCUGGUACAGUGGGAGCAAGAGCUGAGGUUGGAGAGUGGGGACACAGACAUAUAAAUGGGGACUGAAUUAUGAGGGGGAGAGGGUACAUAAUAGGACAAAUCCAAAUCCAAGCUUGGGAGAGGCAAUUCUGGUCUAGGUCAAGCAGGCUUUGAAAUCCAGAGGAAGGGGAUGAAGCUUUUAAACUCUGGGGAUGAGAUGAUAGGACAAUGAGGAAGAGCAGUGUUCUUUAAGAAAAUGUCUUGAAAUAUUAGGAAGAAGAGCCAGGACAAAACCCAGCCUUCAGAAUAAUCAAGUGGCCAGAUAGAGAGUAAGAAGAAAACCCCAGUCCAUGGCUGAAGCAGAGGGCAAGGCUGCCAGCUGACUUUGGUGCCCCGGGGGAAGAGAGACACCAGGCAUUCAAGAGGCCCACACAGAAGAAAUGAGCACAGAAAAUGGCGGAGCACACCGGUCAUACACAGGAAUUGAGAGGAGAAGCGCUCUGAUAAUGCUUGGAAGGCCAGUAGGAGGUAAGAUACUUAGUGGUUAAGGCACAUACUUCAGAACCC
rnacentral:lncRNA from 12 species